rnacentral:rRNA from 1 species
UACGGGGGGGGCAAGCGUUGUUCGGAAUUACUGGGCGUAAAGGGCUCGUAGGUGGCCAACUAAGUCAGACGUGAAAUCCCUCAGCUUAACUGGGGAACUGCGUCUGAUACUGGAUGGCUUGAGUUUGGGAGAGGGAUGCGGAAUUCCAGGUGUAGCGGUGAAAUGCGUAGAUAUCUGGAGGAAUACCGGUGGCGAAGGCGGCAUCCUGGACCGACAUUGACGCUGAACGACGAAAGCUAGGGGAGCAAACGGG